CAACAUUUCUAGCCUCCAUAUUUCACCGCGUUUUUCAAACUUUGUCCGUGUCCAUCAGCAAAAGUUUGCCUGUUUAUGAAGUGGCCAAGACAAAAGCAAAUAUACACAGCUAUUGGCUGGAAAAUGGAGGCUUUGCGAACAGGUUCGGGCCAUUAAGCAAACGACACUGGCCAGAAAUGCAAAAGCUCCCUUUUGGCCAGGAUCACAGGACACACACAUGGCUAGCAGAGAGGGAAGGAAGGCGAAAAAACCCACAUUACGAGAUGCCGUGAAGUGCAUAAAUCGAUGAGAAUGGCAGGGACUAUGCCACUAACAACCUAAUAACUGCAGCAGCCCAGGCUCAGACGACAACCUCGACGACGGGCGUCUAAUCACGGUGGUUCAGUGGGUGGUGGAGGUCAGAGGCUGCUCCACCUCCUCAUCCGACUGGUUGAAAUACCCAAAGCAAAGCCACUUGCAGCAGGGACUCCAGUUCGGUCAGCAGGCAUUGUUCUCGCCAGGCAAAGGCGUUGACUCUGCGGCUGCCCAGGCAUCCAUUCAUCUAGCCCCCUUUUAACCCACCGUAAACCACCCAAAAACCUCCUAAGCCACCCGCCACCCCCUCACUGUGCACCGGUAAAUUUUGCACUUUAGCUGGCCAAAAUGUCAUUGGCAGCAAUGGACGCAAAAACCGCAAGUACACUUGAGUGCUGCACUCCAGGUGCCGUUCUACGCCCACUUUUCCAACCCCUCCCCUUUUCCCAUACCUCCGGCUUUCCACGCCCCCUUGGGCGCUCCAGCCUGCUCCUCAUAAUGUGGAUGCGAACGUGGCCGGGACAUGCACGACGUUGUUGAUGUCUAGCCUGCUGGUCUAGUGUGUCUAGAGUGUGUGUUUGUCAAGACCGAGGCCGAAAAACCACCAGACAUGGUCCAAACCAGAGGCCAGGGCAUCGGGCACCAGACACAGGAAACUGGGAAUAGGAACAGGUCCAAGUCCGGGCCCAGAGAAGUAGGAAACACGAUGCAUUGGCCAACGGAACGGUGGAGCCGUCGGCGAGAGAUUUCAUGUGAAAUUAGCAUGUCGUGACACAAAUGACUUAAAAGCACUCAAUCGCACCGAACACACCAAACAAGGAGUGAGAGAGCCUGGCCAGGAAACGAAGGAGGAUAUGCACUAAGCGAAAAUUGUUGGAAUUUUGAAGAUUAAAACCGAAACAAUUUACCAUUAGGAUAUGUAUGAAAUACUCGAAUAUACAAAGUAUAGUAUGAUGUAUAACUGAUCUGGGUUACAACCACAAAACUUCAUCUUCAACUUAUGGUUUGUUUAAUAAUUUAAGAUAUUAAUUUGGAUGUCAUUCCGAUUUUUCGCAGUCUGCUGUGCAGUAAUGACUGGGUUCUUCAGGCGGAGCCUUUGGCAAGUGUCGCUCGCCCGCUGUGUGCAAAAUAAUUUACACUCACACGUAGAGUUCAUCAAACUGUUUGUGGCAGUACCGCCCGAGCCUCCUCCACCCCCGCAAAUCUUCUUAAGCCCCCCCUGCCCCCCAGGACCCCCUAGAAGCACCUAAGACCCCUCUGCUCACCCUUUAACCCACCUGUGCACAACUUAAUUAAGCCGCCGGGGCUGGGAGCACACCAUCAUCUUCAAUGGCAGCCGACAUUCGGAUCCCAUUCGGAUCGCAACGCAUUCCAGACAACAUCCCAUCCCAUUGAUUGCAUUAAUGUAUUUCUUCAAAAUUAUUGUUUGCCCAGCCGCGCGCCUGCUUAUCAUAAAUUAUGUAAAUGGAAAAACGCGAACCGGAAAACAGGACCGCGGCGAACAACAAUUCUCAAUUAAUGAAGCUCCCCGAUAUCAGUAUCAUGUGAGUCGCCGGUUCGCCAGAUAAAAAUGCAAAAACACCCAGCUCAAGCAACAAAAAACCAAACAGUAUAUAUAAGAAAACAGGACCACAGGCCCUACCUGAGUGCUACCUGGAUCGCAGUCAGCAAAACACAUCACAUACCCACAAAGAGCCCAAGGAACCCACAAAAAAUACUCUGCCGAGUGCGCCAAAAAUUAAGCAGUGACAGUUGAUAAUUUGUCAAAGCCACAGAGUCCAGUCACCGGGACGAGCCCUAAACUCGUUUCCAUGUUGGAUGUAGUAGUAGUCUGGAGUCGGGGUCCGUUGAUUAAGUCGGCUUAUGUGACCUACUAUAGUUAAUAUAUUAUUGGACUACCCAUCAUAGGGUGUGUGAAGGAACCAUCAUAUCACACCAAAAGUUCACUUCAUCGCUUUUCAAUGUAAUUCAAAUAAACAUAAGAUAUCAAGCAACAUUUUAAUUUCUCUAUAUAUAUGUGUAAAUACAUAUGAAUUAUGACUUAUACAUCACAUUCUAUACACUUUAUUUUUAUUUUUUUAUCUUAAGAGCAUCCAAUCUUCCAGUUUUCCCAACUGUUUCUUGUCCCUGAACUUUUUAUUUAUUUCCUCGCUGAUGACAACAUGCCCUGCUCAUAAGCCAGGCCCAUAACGAUCCGCUGCUGGAGGAGCAAGAUGGCCAGGACAUGGACACGCAUGCGUAAGUCGAUGCCGCUGUAAGUGUCAGUUGUUGCUGAUAAUUAGCGAUUAUGGACGACAG
ensembl:ncRNA lncRNA:CR44955 long non-coding RNA:CR44955